AUAAAGUUGAAGCCAAUGCCCAUCACUACUCCGUUGUAGGAAAGUGGGAACCAGGGGAACAGCCUUCCUUCAGCGCACUCCAAGCUUGUAGUCAUGUUGUAGUAGAAAUGGUGACCUGAAUUUCAUACAAAUACAUCAGUAAUUAAAUCGUGGGAAAUGUUUUCACAAAAAUAGCAGCAGAGAAAAGGCAACAAACAACUGCUUAAGAAU